rfam:Thiobacillus sp. SCN 64-35 ABS91_C0033, whole genome shotgun sequence.
GGCGGGCCUCCCCGCAUGACAGCCCUGCGAAUCUGGUCAGGUCCGGAAGGAAGCAGCCACAGUGGGUCGUUGUCAGUGCCGGGGCUCCGGCUCGCCACU